GAAUAUCGAAAUCGGUAUUCUCUAUUAGUCGAGUCUCAUUCGCGAAUAGUAACUUGUAUAAAAUUACAGAACAUUGGUAAGAAAAAAUAAAAAAAGAAAAAGAAUACCGCACACGGACAAGUCGUCGACGAGAUUCGAACGCUCAUCGCCGGCCAAAAAAUAUUCGGCGCAGGAGUCUCAGUCCGCUCAGUCACGCCACGUCUAAACGAAAGCUGCAACUUUUGCCCUAUGUACGCUACAGCUCCGCGACCUAAACUUUAUACUGUAAUUUUUCAGAAAGACAUUUGCACAAACCCCGUUAGGACAUUGAUGCUCAACAUCGCAGUUAUUGAACGUGAUAUGAUCGGAAAUCGACUUAGCAGUCUGCCAUAUUGGAUCCGUCAUUUUUAAUUCAUCAAUUUUGACCAGAUUCUUAUUCUACAACUCGGAGAAACUCUGUAUAUACACUUUUAUAAAAAUUGCAACUGCGAUCUGCGAGAAAAAUGCAUUUGACGUAAUAUUGCGUCAAUGCCCUCUGGGGCACGACGAAAAUGU